GGGGGUGUAGCUCAGCCAGUAGAGUGCUUGCCUCGAAUGCACAAGGCCCUGGGUUCAAGCCCAGCACCACAC
rnacentral:tRNA from 1 species